rnacentral:rRNA from 1 species
UACGUAGGGUGCGAGCGUUGUCCGGAAUUAUUGGGCGUAAAGAGCUCGUAGGCGGUGUGUCACGUCGGCCGUGAAAACCUGCAGCUUAACUGUGGGCGUGCGGUCGAUACGGGCAUCACUGGAGUUCGGCAGGGGAGACUGGAAUUCCUGGUGUAGCGGUGAAAUGCGCAGAUAUCAGGAGGAACACCGGUGGCGAAGGCGGGUCUCUGGGCCGAUACUGACGCUGAGGCGCGAAAGCCAGGGGAGCAAACGGG